CACUUCCGUCUGUUGGAGCCGUACACCCUCCGCUGCUUUUGUUCUCCCAUUUCCAACCAGUCCGCGCUGCCGACAAGAAGGCUGGCCAGUCGGUCCAGUGAACCAAUACGAGGCAAAGCGCGGAGCCGUCCGACGAUAAGCCACAUGCGAAGCCUUUCUGCUCUUGGGAUACUCGGCACUCCACAGUAACAUAAACGGACUACUUUUUUUGUCUUCUUAUUGGAGUUUUCAACGCUUUUUCGGGUUUUUCUUCCUUCUGCCAUUCAACGCCGACUGCACCCGCGAACUCAACAAGAUGGAGAACGACGAUAAAUAUCUCCCCGAACUGCUGGCGGAGAAGGACAGCCUGGACUCGUCGUUUACGCACGCCAUGAAACUUUUAAACGCAGAAAUCGAUAGAGUGCAGAAAGGAGAGACCAAGAAGGAGUCGGAGACCUACCUGGACCUUUUCACAACAAAGAACAUCAAACUCAAGGAACGGGUGCUCAUACCUGUCAAACAAUACCCAAAGUUCAAUUUCGUGGGCAAGAUUCUGGGACCUCAGGGCAACACGAUCAAGCGUCUGCAGGAGGAGACCGGAGCCAAGAUCUCCGUGCUGGGCAAAGGAUCCAUGAGAGACAAAGCCAAGGAGGAGGAACUGAGGAAAGGCGGCGAGCCCAAGUACGCCCACCUCUCCAUGGAGCUGCACGUGUUCAUUGAAGUGUUCGCCCCGGUGCCGGACGCUUACCUGCGCAUGGCGCACGCCAUGGAGGAGGUCAAGAAGUUCCUGUUCCCCGAUAUGAUGGAUGAUAUCUGCCAGGAGCAGUUCAUGGAGAUGAGCUACCUGAACGGAGGCCAGGAGCACGGCGCCAGAGGCCGAGGGGGCAUGCCCAUUAGGGGCCGGGGGGUCCCCCCUGCUGGAGCACACAGGGGGAGGGGGAUGCCUCCUCACGGUGCCGCGGCCAGAGGAGGUGUGACUCGAGGAGGCCCAGCCAGAGGUGGGGCAGUGAGGGGGGCCCCCCCGGGCAGAGGAGGACCUCCUGCUGCACCAGCCAGAGGGGCUGCGGCUUCACGCGCCAGACCCCCAGCUGGCGGACCACCUCAGAGGAUGGCCCCGCCCCCUGCUCACCAGCACACGGCCGGCGCGGCUGCAGAGAACUACGACGAAUAUGGUUACGACGAGAGCUACACAGACACGGCCUACGAGUCUUACGACAGCUACUACAGUCAGCCGCAGGCAGAACCAGAAUAUUAUGACUAUGGACACGGAGAGACAACUGAGUCAUACGAGUCAUAUGCCCAGGAUGACUGGAACGGUACUCAGCGGACGACUCCAGGGAAAGCCCUUCCCCCCUCCAGAGGUGGCAGCACGGCUUACCGGGAGCACCCAUACCGACAGUACUGAAGCGGACCCUCCACCCUUAGUGUUGCCCCGAUAACCGCCUGUCUACCACGGCAGCUCUCGCUUUAAGAAGCCUGAAAAAAGCACGGCUACCGGUCACCGAGCAUCCUGAGAGGGAGAGAGGGAGUCCGCCGGAGGCCGAAGCGCCGCAGAGAAACGGGAGCAGCUCGCCGUGAAGAAGGUGGUCAGUUGCAGCUCUCAGGGGCAUCCCUAUGGGGAGGGAAAAAGUGCUGUGUGCCUUCCUGGAAGGUUGGGGGUGGGGGUGGGUUUUUGAACGUGGGGGAGGGAGGCCACGCCACGCAAAGAUGGCAGCUGAUGGGGGGCCAAACGGGACCUAAGCUGCUCACAGGACGAGAAGACGUCUCACCUUAUGUCAACUGUUUAAUGGUAUUUAUACAGGACUCUUGUGUGGUGUAUUAUCGUGCGUCAGUGUGUUGUAAUUUAACUUGUGAAGCUUUGGAUGUACACGUUUCCUCUGCAGCCCCCCCCCCCCCCCCUCGACUAGCAGCUGGAGAGCUAGCUGCCUAAUUUAGCAGAAAAUGAGCACUCCUUUUAUAGAACGCUGUGAAAUCGUCUUUAAUUCCCAUUAACCCACGAAUCCGACCUAAAACGAUUCCUUUUGACUUUGACGGCGUUCAGAGAGUUAGGGUGCUACACGUCUCAAAUCCAAGUACGCUUUAAGGGAUGUGCUUUUGAAAUUCACGCCUCGUCGUCGCAGGGAAUUGUGCUCGGUGGGUCAAGAGAUCCGCGCGGAUCCGUCGACGGCAGCGCCUGCAGACGUUGCACGGCUCGCUCCAGCCUCGACGACGUCCGGCUCUAACGCACGUGCCCCGCCUGCCCGCCAAUGCAAAACACUUUCAUAGCCGACGCUGUCCUGUCCUCAGCAGUUUCACAUCCAAGGAUUAGAAUUCAGCGCGAUGGAGCCAAGCGGAGCAGCCCGAGAGAAGAGGACAGAGGGUGAAGGCAGACAUUACUAGCAUCCCGCCAAUUCAUUCAUCCAUCCAUCCAGCCAUCUAUCAUGCUUCUGUUGAUUCGAUCCCCCCCACCCCCCUCUGCCAUUUUCAGCCAUUAUCACUGAUGAUAUUACUGCAGCCUGUGGUGCCGAGUUACAUCUAGAGGUCAAAAUUCUACUUUCCUGUAUUAAAAACAAAUUUCCUGGUGCCGAUCCACUGGUCAGAGGCAGCAUUAGCUCCAUUUGGCUUAUUGGAAAAUCCUGCCGCUUAUAGGCUAGAACAUUAGAUAUCAGGACUGAAGCCAUCACCGGGGAUGAAAUGUCAACGGGCCAUAUCCAAAACAGACCAUUUUUCAGUCUUUAUUUGCUAUUAUGUCUGAAGUAAUGAUUCCUGCGUCUCCCAUAAUCUAAUGCUAGAUAAGUGAUGGUGUGGAAGCAGUCUCGUUGCGAAUCGAUGAAGUGUCAGGAAGCAUAAGGGUGGAGAGGAAAGUAAACGCUACUGUGCCGUGAUCAAUAAAGGUAGACUUGAAUGCGAGCGAGCCGCGAAUCCGUCAUCCUUGAUGUUUCCUCUCCCCGCUAGCCGUCGGAUCGCCCCUUCCGCUUCUGCCCACGUCUGCCCCGGCCGCCGCCGCGCGUUCUCCGUAAUGCUGGCCGGCGCGAGCGAUCGGGAGCCAGGCUGUCUCGCCUCGUGGACGGGGGAUGUGUUAAAAAUGCUGCUGGUGGAGGUGGGGGAGGCGGCGGACAGCUGGAUUGCUUCCCCUGGCCUUGACGGAUUCACACCAUCAGAAGAACAUCGCACGCUGAUGCCCGUUAGAGAGGGUGACUCUGAAGCAGCUCUUCCAGCUGCUAUCUGGGACUUAAUGUAUGCUCGCCUCAUACCCGCCGUCCUUGCUGCUCCAGGGGAAUAUCAGGACAAGCUCUGAAGAUUUAUUUUUAUAUGGCCUCUAUUAAUCAAUGCUGUGUGUGCACUGUUGUUGAUGCAUACUAUGUAAAAUAAUAAAAGCUAAUAACUUGUCA